GGGGCUGUGUCACAGCGGCACCUCUGUGGCUGUGUCAUGGAGGCACAGAGCAGCUGUGAUGUCAGAAAGAGACUGUGUGACAGCACAGAGUGGACUGUGUGACAGCACAGAGUGGGCUGUGUGAGGUCACAGACUGGGCUAUGAGACCACAGAGUUUAUUGUGUGAGGUCACUGAGCAGCUAUGACAUCAUAGAUGGGAGUGUGUGACAUCACAUAGUUUCUUGUGUGAGGUCAUUGAGCAGCUAUGACAUCAUAGAGGGGACUCUGUGACAUCACACAGCAGGCUGUGACAUCAUGGCAUAUCUGUAUGACACCAUAGAGCAGACUGUCAGGUCAAAGUAUGUGCUGUGACAUUACAGAGUGGCAGUAUGACAUCACAGAGAGGGUUUUAUGACAUCACUGAAGGGCUUGUGACAUCACAGAGCUGGCAAUUGUUAUGAGUUUUGUUUUAAUGAAGUUGGGGAAGAAUGGGGGUUGCUUGUUGUGGGGGAAGGGAAGCGUCCAGGACUUGGUGGGGGCUGGAGGUGGAUGGUGAUUGGACCAGGGCACCGACCAAUCACUCAACGCCCUGGGGAAAUGAUUGGUCCAGAAUGAACAUCAGUAAGGACCAAGCAAAGCGCCCGAAUUCCACCAAUCGGUGCGUGGAUCCAAAACCCACCAAUCCUGGACCAGGGACUGUUAUAAAAAGGGGGGUUUUCAGGUCUUCGGGGUUCUUUCGGGUUUGUUCGUGUUGGUGUUCAUGUAUUUUUGAAAGAACCCAGCGUGUGAGAAGCACACUGCUUUUGGAAUUUUGAGCUGUUGUGAAAGACCUGGGCUUAUCUUGGGUCUUCUGUUCUCUUUGACUUAUUUUUAAUAAAUGAGAGCCUGUUUCAACCUCUCUUCUAAAAUUUUGCCUUGUUCGAUUUAUAACAUCUUUGGGGACUCGUCCGGGGUCAGCCACGACCCUGAAGCGGUCCGGGAUAGCCCGGGCCCGAGAAGACGUUUCCAGCCACAUUUUUCGGCUGCUCGGAUCUUGGACUACGUUGGACCGAGGAGGGGAACGUGCUGACUCCCGAGGUCAGAGAAAACGACAACAGCUCAAAGGAUCAGAAGAUCAAAGGAAAGAAAUAGAGCAUUCUCCCACACAUCUAGCAAUCUGGCCCUAAAAAGAACAGAAGAAACAAGUUGAUAAAAAAAGGGAAAGUGAACUCCUGCAACAGUAACUGGUAAGAGUAACACGUUAAGAAAAAGAGCGAGAGGGGGGCAAGACCGGAUCAAGUUACACUCUUGCCACAAAGAGUUGCUGAUCCUCUACGGAGGGGAGACAUGAUUGGGAGAGUGGCUUGUACCGGACCCCCAUUCCUAGGAAUCCUCCUACUUAUGAUCAUCAACAAGGGAGAGACAGAACCAUGCGAGAAGUGUUACUACCCUUUGUAUGCAGGAGAGUCUCGGACUGCCGUCCUCAGGACACACACUAACCCGAGUCCUAAUUGUAUCAACUUUUUGUCAGUAACAACUUGUAUGGAGGAUGGAAAAACAUAUUGGCUAUUCGAAAAUAUAGGAAAUUUUAAACAAAAAUUGUUGGGGGAAUGCCCUAUGAAAGAGAAGUGGGUCUGUUCUGAGAAGAAACCCAUUGAAGGACAAGUAGGAUAUGAGGAUUAUGAACCCGAUUUGAUAAAAGAAAAAGAAAUAAAAUGGGUGAUUAAAAAGGGACCGAAAAUCCCAACUCUGGGAGGGAAAAAUCUAUUCCUCGACCUAGCGGAAAAGAUAAGUCACGAAUUUAACAUCUCUAACUGCUGGAUUUGUGGAGAUACUUGUAUGGCUGAAAUUUGGCCAUGGGAGGGAAUCCCCAUGAGUCCACAGGACGUACUUAGAAUUCUAGACAAAGAAGGAUCCGAGCGAGACAACCGACCGGAGGAAGAGGCAUGGAACCUACGAUCCGAAAUGAUUGGUGAAGAGUGCCUUUGGAGGAGGCAUCCAGAGUACACCGUGUAUUUGGGUGAGAUCCAUUGUAAGAGUUAUUUAGUCAUGAAUAAAACCUAUCAGUGGUGGAUUCCCAAACGUCCGCACUUAUAUUGGUCAAGGUCCAAAAGAUCCCAAUGCUCUUAUAUAGAAAGAGAAAAGUUAUAUGAAUGCCCUACCAGAGAGCCCAAUCCAUUCUGGGAUGCACCCCAAAUUGCCAAAUUUUGGAACAAAACCAACUAUAACUUAGAAAGCCAACUUCAGUUUUGGAGAGCUCCAAAAAAUUUAUAUUGGCUGUGUGGAAAAAGAGCGUAUGUAGUCCUGCCAAAAGGAUGGGCUGGGAGUUGUACCCUGGGCGUAAUAAGACCCUCCUUCUUUCUCCUCCCCAGGAUAGAAGGGCAUCAUUUAGGGGUACCUCUCUAUGAUGAGUUAGCCGGAAAAAGCGAGAGUUGUCCAUAGGAGGCACUCAACAAUGGGGAGAGGAAGAAUGGCCACCAGAACGUAUCAUUGCCACCUACGGCCCAGCUACUUGGGCUCAAGAUGGGUCAUGGGGAUAUAGGACUCCUAUUUACAUGCUAAACAGAAUAAUCAGGUUACAAGCUUUAUUAGAAAUUAUUUCCAACCAAUCCACACUAACAAUAGACCUCCUCAAUGCCCAAUCGAGGCAGAUGAGAACCAUGAUAUACCAAAACCGGCUAGCUUUAGACUACCUUCUAGCCGAAAGAAGGAGUGGUAUGUGGGAAAUUUAAUUCCUCGGAAUGCUGUAUUGAAAUAGAUGAUCACAGUGAAGUAAUUACCAAUAUCAUGACUAACAUCAGAAAAUUAGCCCACGUCCCUGUUCAAAGGUGGACCCCAUUGAUACAGACUGAUUGGGGAAAUUGGUGGAAUAACUUAUUAAAAGGUGAUAGGUGGAAGAAAGUACUGAUUGUCUUAGGUGGUGCCCUAAUAAGUAUCAUGUUUCUUCCAUGUAUGAUCCCAUGCCUCAUCCGGGUCGUUACGAGAACUGUGAUCAACUCCCUCGAACUCACCCUCAAAAGUGGAGAAAAAGACAAAGAUGCUAACAACAUUUUAAUGUUACAAGGACAAGGGAUGGAACCCAACCCAGUGGCAGAGAAUGAUGAAACUGCGGCAGAGACUUACAGAAGAUACCAGAAAUUAAGAGAAUUGUACACUAUCAAAGAAGAAACUAUUUAAAAACAGUUCAAAAUGAACUGUUUGGAGAAACUGUUAAAAACAGCUCAGAAAUGAACUGUUAAGAGACUAUUUAAAAAGACUGUUUAAACUAAAGACUGAGUGGGAGUUGAUGCGGGUUGAUGAGGGCUAAAGCCUGAUCAAAGUUUUAGAGGGGGAGUUGUUAUGAGUUUUGUUUUAAUAAAGUUGGGGAAGAAUGGGGGUUGCUCGUUGUGGGGGAAGGGAAGCGUCCAGGACUUGGUGGGGGCUGGAGGUGGAUGGUGAUUGGACCAGGGCACCGACCAAUCACUCGACGCCCUGGGGAAAUGAUUGGUCCAGAAUGAACAUCAGUAAGGACCAAGCAAAGCGCCCGAAUUCCACCAAUCGGUGCGUGGAUCCAAAACCCACCAAUCCUGGACCAGGGACUGUUAUAAAAAGGGGGGUUUUCAGUUCUUCGGGGUUCUUUCGGGUUUGUUCGUGUUGGUGUUCGUGUAUUUUUGAAAGAACCCAGCGUGUGAGAAGCACACUGCUUUUGGAAUUUUGAGCUGUUGUGAAAGACCUGGGCUUAUCCUGGGUCUUCUGUUCUCUUUGACUUAUUUUUAAUAAAUGAGAGCCUGUUUCAACCUCUCUUCUGAAA